rnacentral:rRNA from 1 species
GACGAACGCUGGCGGUGUGCUUAACACAUGCAAGUCGAACGGUAAGGCCCUUUCGGGGGUACACGAGUGGCGAACGGGUGAGUAACACGUGAGUAACCUGCCCUCAUCUCUGGGAUAACAGUCGGAAACGGUUGCUAAUACUGGAUAUGAGCUUGCAAGGCAUCUUGUGGGUUGGAAAGAUUUUUUUUGGUUGGGGAUGGACUCGCGGCCUAUCAGCUUGUUGGUGAGGUAGUGGCUCACCAAGGCUUCGACGGGUAGCCGGCCUGAGAGGGCGACCGGCCACAUUGGGACUGAGAUACGGCCCAAACUCCUACGGGAGGCAGCAGUGGGGAAUAUUGCACAAUGGACGGAAGUCUGAUGCAGCAACGCCGCGUGCGGGAUGACGGCCUUCGGGUUGUAAACCGCUUUCAAUUGUGACGAAGCUUUUUUGUGACGGCAGCAGUAGAAGAAGCACCGGCUAACUACGUG